GUUAGGGCUGCAGGCCCCUGUAGUGCAGACAGGCCCCAAGUCCAGGGUGGCUGCAGGUUUCAGCCCGAGAGGAAAUCUGCCCCUGAACUGUGUUGCACUGGGAGACUAGAUUCAGUCACCAGCAUCCUUUAGCCCAGCCUGCCCUGCCUGCUCCAGUGACCCUGCAGUGCUCACUGGGCCACAGAGUCUUUGGCUCUGAUCCCUGGGGGAACUUGGCUCCCUGCCACGGGGCAUGUUUCUGAAGGACGUGGCAGGAAGCGAUUUGGUUUGAAUCCUCUCCAAGGUGCAGUUUAAAACUUUCUGUUUCAAUCUCCCGGGACAUUAUAUCACUGACGCUCAGAGCAGGGAGGCGCUGUGGGGCAGUAUAUAUAACCCGCCUGCUCCAGCGAGGGACUGACACAGGACUGUAUGUUCAGUCUCACAGCCCAGCGAACCCUUCCUGAUCAGAAUUAACCCUUUCGCUGCUGUUGAUCCUCCUGCGGGGAGCUGGCUGGCUGCUGCUCAGGCAAACCCUCAAACCCAGACCCCACAGGAAACAGAACAAGGAUGACUGAGCGACUUGGAAUUGAUUUGGGCAGCGCCUGCUAAGGUCUGGUUGACCCUGGGGAUAAAAGCAGUGCCAAGGAUACCUUUGAAACAGUUCAUUCAAACACAACUCAGAUCCAGCCUGGCUGGUCUGGGUAUUUGG